GACGAACGCUGGCGGCGUGCCUAAUACAUGCAAGUCGAACGAGAGCGACCGGUGCUUGCACUGGUCAAUCUAGUGGCGAACGGGUGAGUAACACGUGGGUAACCUGCCCAUCAGAGGGGGAUAACAUCCGGAAACGGAUGCUAAAACCGCAUAGGUCCUCGAACCGCAUGGUUUAAAGAGGAAAAGGGCCGCAGGCUUCUGCUGAUGGAUGGACCCGCGGUGCAUUAGUUAGUUGGUGAGGUAACGGCUCACCAAGGCCGUGAUGCAUAGCCGACCUGAGAGGGUGAUCGGCCACAUUGGGACUGAGACACGGCCCAAACUCCUACGGGAGGCAGCAGUAGGGAAUCUUCCGCAAUGGACGCAAGUCUGACGGAGCAACGCCGCGUGAGUGAAGAAGGUUUUCGGAUCGUAAAACUCUGUUGUUAGAGAAGAACAAGUGCUAGAGUAACUGUUAGCGCCUUGACGGUAUCUAAACAGAAAGCCACGGCUAACUACGUG
rnacentral:rRNA from 1 species